GGGGGCAACCCUGAUCCAGCAAUGCCGCGUGCAGGAUGAAGGCCUUCGGGUUGUAAACUGCUUUUGUACGGAACGAAAAGCCCUGGGUUAAUACCCUGGGGUCAUGACGGUACCGUAAGAAUAAGCACCGGCUAACUACGUGCCAGCAGCCGCGGUAAUACGUAGGGUGCGAGCGUUAAUCGGAAUUACUGGGCGUAAAGCGUGCGCAGGCGGUUUUGUAAGACAGAGGUGAAAUCCCCGGGCUCAACCUGGGAACUGCCUUUGUGACUGCAAGGCUAGAGUACGGCAGAGGGGGAUGGAAUUCCGCGUGUAGCAGUGAAAUGCGUAGAUAUGCGGAGGAACACCGAUGGCGAAGGCAAUCCCCUGGGCCUGUACUGACGCUCAUGCACGAAAGCGUGGGGAGCAAACAGGAUUAGAUACCCUGGUAGUCCACGCCCUAAACGAUGUCAACUGGUUGUUGGGUCUUAACUGACUCAGUAACGAAGCUAACGCGUGAAGUUGACCGCCUG
rnacentral:rRNA from 1 species